AUUACACAAACCGCCACUCAGAAUGCCAGGGACAGCUCUCAACUCACAACCUCCCUGAAUCCUCCACUCAACUAACACUUUUAACCAGGGUCCUCCCAGUCACCUUGGCCCUCCAAUUUCAAUAAACUCUCUUACUUUACCUCUGCCUUUCUGUUUGUUGUCCCACUCAGAGCUGUUAUGGAAAAAGCAAUGCUGACACAAACAAAGAUUGCCUGUCAAAAGCUAUCCUGCAGUGGGAUGACGUGUGGCACAAAUGGCUCCCAACUAAUUGUGUGCUUGUAUCCAAUUGACAGUGGAAAUGUAAAAGGCUUGAAUUUCUUGUUACCAAUAUUUAACAUAUACUGUAAGUUUUUUUUGUUGUUGCUUUUUUAAUAUCAUCACACGCAUGAGCAGAUUCAUCAUGCAAUAAUAUCAAAAGCUUAAUUAGUUUCCGUACAAUAAUCAUGUCUGUAUUGUCAUUUAGUUGAUAUGAUGGUGUGCUGAAAAAUAUCUAAACACCCUCUGUUUUCUUUUAUGUCAUACUUGAACAGAAAUCUAUUGUUAUGCAGAUUCAGUUCUUUCUGUACUUUAGUUAAUUGGCGUGGGGAGGAACUCUGUAUAAAGCAUGUCUCUUUGGUUGGCAGGCUUUAUUUAAAAGCAAACAAUAAAAUCUUUCUUUUUUCAGA